CCUACGGGAGGCAGCAGUGGGGAAUAUUGGGCAAUGGGCGCAAGCCUGAUCCAGCAACGCCGCGUGAAGGAAGAAGGCUUUCGGGUUGUAAACUUCUUUUCUCAGGGACGAAGAAAGUGACGGUACCUGAGGAAUAAGCCACGGCUAACUACGUGCCAGCAGCCGCGGUAAUACGUAGGUGGCAAGCGUUAUCCGGAUUUACUGGGUGUAAAGGGCGUGUAGGCGGGGAAGCAAGUCAGAUGUGAAAACCACGGGCUCAACCUGUGGCCUGCAUUUGAAACUGUUUUUCUUGAGUACUGGAGAGGCAGACGGAAUUCCUGGUGUAGCGGUGAAAUGCGUAGAUAUUAGGAGGAACACCAGUGGCGAAGGCGGUCUGCUGGACAGCAACUGACGCUGAGGCGCGAAAGCGUGGGGAGCAAACAGGAUUAGAUACCCGAGUAGUC
rnacentral:rRNA from 1 species